AGUUAUAUCACUUUGAAACGCCAGUUCUCGUACGAUUAACGAACUUAAGCAACGUGGAGCCCGGUCAGUACCAAGAUGGGUGACCGCUUGGGAAUACCAGGUGCUGUU